AGAGGCCACACUCAUCAUAGCAGAGAGGCAGGAUCAGCUGGGACAGGGUCCUUCUGUGACACCAACUGCAUCACCAGGCUGUGCAAAGUGACUCAGCUGCCAGAACUCACAGAAUAUCAUUCUGCACCAAAACCUCACAGGAAAAAUGCUCCACGACCCUCAGACUUAAACAGCAGCACUGGCUCCUCCCAAGAUCUCCAGCUCCCCAGCUCCCCGACCCUCAAACUUCAACUGCGGAACCAGCUCCUCCCCGGGUCUACAGCUCCACGAUCCUCAAACUACAACAGCAGCGCCAGCUUCCCUCCAGCUCAAUGAUUCUCAGACUUGAGAGGCAGCACUGGCUCCUCCCCAAGGCUCCAGCUUCAAGACCCUCAAACUAAAACAGCAGCACCAGCUACUCCCUGGGUCUCCGGCUCCCUGACCCUCAAAACUGUAGACCCUCAACUGUAGCACUUGCUCCUCCCCAGGGCCACCAGCUCCACGACCCUCAGACUUACACAGUGGUAGCACCAGCUCCUCCCUAGGUCUCCAGCUCCACAGCCAUCAAACUUGAACUGCAGCACCAGCUCCUCCCAUCUCCAGCUCCACGAUCCUCAAACUAUGACAGCAGCACCGGCUCCUCCCUGGAUCUCCAGCUCAAUGACUCUCAGACUUGAGAGGCAGCACCGGUACCUCCCCAAGGCUCCAGCUCCACGACCUUCCUUCAGAUUUAAACAGCGGUAGCACCAGCUCCUGUCUGGGUCUUCAGCUCCACGAUCCUUAAACUAGAACAGCAGCACUGCCUCCUCCCUAGGUUUCCAGCUCCAUGACCCUAAGACAUGAAUGGCAGCACCGGCUCCUCCCCAGGGCUCCAGCUCCAGGACCCACAGAUUUGAACGGCAGCAACAGCUCUUCCCCGGAUCUCCAGCUCCAUGACCCUCAAACUAGAACAGCAGCAUGAGCCUCUCCCCGGGUCUCCAGCUCCACAACCCUCAGACAGGAACAGCAGCACUGACUCCUCCUUGGGUCUCUAGCUUCACCACCCUCAAACUUGAAUUGCAGCAGCAUCAGCACCUACCUUGGUCUCCAGCUCCACAACCCUCAGACUACAACAGCAACACCGGUUCCUCCCUGGAUCUCUAGAUUAACGACUCUCAGAUUUGAAAGGCAGCACCAGGUCCUCACAAAGGCUCCAGCUCCAAGACCCUCAAACUAGAAGAGCAGCUGCAGAUGCACAUUGGGUCUCCAGCUCCA
rnacentral:lncRNA from 1 species